rnacentral:piRNA from 1 species
UAAAAGCCUGUAACCCUUCAGAGGUGA